CUACUUAAAAAGACUAAAGUGGUUCCUUAUUCUGCCAUCCACAAUACGUCAACUUUGGUCGUCCUUCCCACCUGGGCUUCGGUCGUUCGCUUCGUCAAACAUUUUUUGGUUUCGCACGGGCUCAACUGGGCCGAGGCCCAGCUAUCUCCUCACGGAACGUGAACCCAUCGCCUGAAACCCUCGCCCCUAACCUCGUCAUCCUCCUCCCCUGCGCGGAUUCCACAACCCGAGCCGCCGACCACCCUCCGCCGCUUGUUCCUACAGUAGCGUGGAGAAGGAGGCCGUCCCUCCCUGUCUCGUGCAGCCGCGGGUCGCGGAGGACAGGGGCCAGGUCGGGGCGGCGCCAGCAAUCUGGACUUUUGGGCGGCACCGGUCGCUCAAGCUCCCUGCGUCGGAUCCGCCGACGCACACGAUGGAGACAAAGCUAGGGCGGACACGACUACUGGAUGGGGGCAAUCUCCUCGGACCAUGCGGCUGCUCAAGAUGGCGAUCCAAUCCAUCCUCUCCCUAGCCACCUCCCCUGAGAUGGAUUGAAUUUCUCCCCAGCUUCCAAAUUCGGACCAUGCUGCAAUUCAGAAUCACUUUUGCCCCAAUCAACUAAUCAAUAUUUUUUGAUGCACCGCAGGAGCAGAAUAGCCGACAGCAGUUUGAAGUGGAUCGGGUAGCUGCUGUUGUCGGCGUGGCUGCCGAGUGGAGGAUCUAAACUACGUUGGACUGGUGCCACAACGGUUGACCUCCCCGACACCGUUCGAGUUCCUGGGCGUCGCUACAUGCCAUAACACGCAGCAAAAGCAAUUCGUCAUAGAGGGCACCUUAUCGGCAAGACGCCCGUGGACCGUGGUGUACAUAACAUUAUCUCUGCAGUUCAUGCCUGAGCCGUAGCUAGGCACGCGGCGGCGAGCUGGUCAAUGAAGGCGUCACCGCGUCGCUGGGAGAAGGGAAGGACGAGCGGGAGGAGAAGAGAAGCGGGGCUAGCUCGCGCAGCCAGAUGCCCAUCGACGCCCUGCUCCUGCAGUGCCGCUUUUUCCUAUUCUUGAAGGAUUAGUGAUUUUCGCGGUCUAAUUUGGCAAGAAAAUGAAGGAGGCUGAGUUGGUGAUGGCGGCAUGGGAGAGUGGCGCUGAUAGCGGGAAGCUUCUAUGACAUCGGAGACAGCGCCGAGCAAGGUAUGAAACUGAAUUAUGAAUGUUGUGAACUUAAUUUACAUUCCUAUUUCGCAGGCCAUGUUUUCAUAUUAAACGCAGAUAAGAACUAUAUUGCUGAAAAAAUAGAUACAAUUUAUCUUUUUUGUGAAACUGAUAUACAUACAAGUUAGGGCUUCUAUAUAAGAAAGGCUUUGAUAAAAAAAAUACCCGUUUUUGAUGCGCAUGUGGCCUGAAAUACCACUGUAUGAGAUAGUACUGCAUGGCUCAGGUACCUAUCAUGAAAACAAUCCAUUCCGCUUAUUAGGUAUGAGAUAGUGCAUGGCUCAGGUUCCUUUAGUUUUGCACUCCUGGUGAUAACGUAGGGUUCCAGUGUAGGUAUACUGAUUGGAGUCAUGGUUAAUUUCUUAAUUGAUUAUGAGUGGGUUAUAUAUAACCGUGGUAUCCUGAAUCAAAGGCUCCAAUUGUGCUUUGUACUGUGUAUUUAUACCAACAGAUUGCAUAAUUGCUUAUUUUAUUUUUUUCAUUUCAUUUAUCUUUACAAUUUUGCAGAAGUUGGUCCAAAAGAUUUGUGAGUUUUUGAUCUAGAAUAUAGAAACUUGAUUCACAAGACUUUCUUCUUCCAUAGAAAUGAUGUUGUAUUGGCCUUUUUACAGUGUGAAAACCAGUGUUAAGACACUAUACAUUGAAGCUAUGCGAGGUUUUCAAAUAUGAGUAUAAUGUUAUAUCCAAUGGUUUUAUUCUGACAUUAUUAGGUUGAUGAAUUCUUUAUCGUCCAAAGUUUUGUUUUUUCUGCCCGUACGUUGGCGCGCUGCAAGGCAUGGGGACAUUAUUAACUGGAAGUGGAAGUGUUGUAUUAAAAGAAUCAUGUCUAAGUUAGCUCAACGCAAACUAUAUAUACUCAUGUUGUAGUUCAGUGUUUUAUCUCUUCAAUUAUCCUCUCCUCCGUUUUCUUUUCUUUUCGAGCAGCUACAAAUUGAUCAGCUGCAUCACAAGAUUGGUGCGUUUGUGACCAUUACCAGUAUAAAGUAUACCUUUUAAAGGACAUGGGAACAAGAUAACAUCCUGAGAUGACAUCUGCUUUAUUUUUGCAAAUCAAGGAAGGAAACGGAACACCAACUUCGCUCAAAUGUAUUCUCUAUAGCCUUCUGCACUGACCCACAAGGUCUACUGUAUGAUUAGCAUGGUUGUGAUGCUCAACAUGGCCAUUAAAUUAAAACGAAGUCCCUACUCUUACAGAUAUGGUAAAGUGAGUCCUUCAGGCAUUUUACAGGAAAAGCACACACUUUUCCUGAUUUUAGAUUUUGGGUUCUGUUUGCUAAUACAAAAAAUAGUAGGCAUGGUAAAAUGCUACAGUUUGUAAUUCUGACAGAGUUGCAAAUAAAAAUAUCCAUCACUCUGCCAUGUUCUAAAAUCACUGGCAUAUUGCGACGGAACUUGCAUGUGCAUGUAUCAGCCAUGCUUGCCACCGUGAUGUCAUCAUCCUCUUGUAGUAGCACAAAUUUCAUUUUCUUCGUUUAACUAUUAUUAUAAUUUAGGGUUUUUUUUUGCUCAGGACAAGACCGGUAGCAUCAUGUAUCUAUGUGAAUAAUUGCUUAUGAAUCAGGAUAUUUUUCUGUUCAGCAGUUAACAGUUCUCUGGUUUUCAAUCAGGAUUCUCCUUCAUCCAAGCUCUAUAGUGAACUGGUUCAGUUCGCACAAAAGACCUGCAGCUCAUUGUAUGCAGUUCGUGCUGAUAAAUUGGACAACACUUGACUUUUUAGAGGUGAUUUUUCUAAUAAUGUUGGCCUAUUGUGACUUAUGAUUUUAUCGAUCUCUUUCCCGCUGAUAAAUUUGUGAAGAAAACAAAAUGCCCUUCAUAAGAGCCGAUUAUAUAUCAAGUCAAAUCACGAGUGCUUCUCUUGACUACUGGUUUGCGGAGAAGAAGAAGGCACUGGAAGUGCCAAGUCAAGACUACUGGUUUUAGUUAUUCCAUAUUUUGUUUAGUGCAGUGAUGUUUGAAAGUGCCAAGUCAAACCUGUUAUAUUUUCUAUGUUUGGUACUGAUGUAGUACUCAUUUUGCUGCCAUUAUCAGUGCUUGUUGAACAAGUGAUAUGUGCUAUAUUUUUUCCACUAUUCAAUCA